rnacentral:tRNA from 1 species
AGUGAUGUAUGUCCAGGUGCGAAGGCAGGACCUACUUCCACUCUUAAUGGGGAGGCCGCGGGUUCGAAUCCCGCCACCGGUACCA